UGUCUCCAUCUACCUUCUUCCCUAUCUCGAAUAUCCCAAUUUGAGAUCUACAAAUUAGAAGACCUCAGACCAGGCCUGAUCUAGUUGGGUAGAUCUUGGAUUUUUUAGAGAUGAUCUUAGAGGCAUUCUUCAUCUGGAACGAAAGGCUGAUGAAAAAGACAGCAACUAGGCUGAUUUCAUCAAGGGCCUUCGAUCGAGUCCAGAAGUCUCCAGAUUUGUUCGUUGCUAGUUCUGCUGCACCCAAG
rnacentral:lncRNA from 1 species